UACGUAGGGGGCUAGCGUUGUCCGGAUUUAUUGGGCGUAAAGAGCGUGUAGGCGGCCCGGUAAGUCCGCUGUGAAAGUCGGGGGCUCAACCCUCGAAUGCCGGUGGAUACUGUCGGGCUAGAGUGCGGAAGAGGCGAGUGGAAUUCCUGGUGUAGCGGUGAAAUGCGCAGAUAUCAGGAGGAACACCAAUUGCGAAGGCAGCUCGCUGGGACGUAACUGACGCUGAGGAGCGAAAGCGUGGGGAGCGAACAGG
rnacentral:rRNA from 1 species